CCUACGGGAGGCAGCAGUGAGGAAUAUUGGUCAAUGGGCGAGAGCCUGAACCAGCCAAGUCGCGUGAGGGAGUACUGCCCUAUGGGUUGUAAACCUCUUUUGUCGGGGAGCAAAAGCCGGACGUUUCCGGCUGUGAGAUUACCCGAAGAAAAAGCAUCGGCUAACUCCGUGCGAGCAGCCGCGGUAAUACGGAGGAUGCGAGCGUUAUCCGGAUUUAGUGGGUUUAAAGGGUGCGCAGGCGGAUUUUUAAGUCAGCGGUCAAAUCGUGGGGCUCAACCCCAUCCAGCCGUUGAAACUGGGGAUCUAGGGUGGGCGAGAGGUAUGCGGAAUGCGUGGUGUAGCGGUGAAAUGCAUAGAU
rnacentral:rRNA from 1 species